CCUGCGCGGGUGUUACGGCCAGAAUCGUGUCCCCCAAAGUUUCUGUCUUGGAGUCCUAGCCCCCAGGACCCCCAUAAUCAGAGGCUCAUCGUGUGGUGUCCUGGUUGCACGUAGUGUGAAGUGUGCCAUUUAAGCAAGUGCAAUAAACUGAUUUUAGCAAGUAAUA